UCUGCUACUGGCCACUGCUGGAGACAGGCUACUGGUCUAGGCAGAUCUCCAGUUUCACCCGGUGCAGCUGUGCUUGUGUUAUCUGUGCCAUAUAGUGCAAAAAUGGAAUGUAAAAUGUGUCAAAGGAUUAUGUGGAACUCUUGUAGCUUACAGAAGGUGCUAAUAUCUCUGCCAGUUGCAAGUAAUGCGGCCAUCCUAGCGCCAUGCCAAUAAAAGCAUUUUACCAAAGUAUCAUGCAUUCCCCAGACUCUGUAGGUCACAGAUUAGAAUUAAUUCUUUGUAGUUUUAAGUAAAAAGCUCAGUGUCUCUUGUCGGGAAGAUUAAAAUGAGGUUGGCAGAAAGAAAAGACUCAAUAAUUGCUGAACUAAAUCAAUAUAAUCUUUAACCAGCACACAGAAUAAAUGAUACCAUUUUAGACUGUUCUAUAAAAAUUAUUCCACAGAUUUUUAUAAGAAAACAAACUCAGUUCCAUUGGCUAGAUAUUUCCAGUAUAUCCAGAAAUUUUAUUUUGUUUACUAAUGUAAAUGCAUUCACUUUCCAUGCUCAGGUAAUCAGUCCAACAUACAUAUUGAUAUAAGAACAGCAAACUUUUCCUUAAUAUUAAAACUGCCUCUUUGCAAUGGGUAAUGAUGAUUUAUGCAAAAAGCUUACUUUGUGGGAAAAUGAAGCUUUGUGGGUUUACAAUUCAUGUAUUUGUUCUUUUCAUGUUAUGAAUAACUGCCAUUUCCUUGAACUAAGUUAUUACUAUAGGGAUAUGAGUAUAUUCUCCUGAGGGCCAAAUAUUCUGCUAUUGUCAUUGUCCUGUUAACAUUAGGUUGUCUUGAAGUCAGUAAAACUGUACAACCUUAUUCAGAGCUUCCUCUGAAGAUAGAAAUGAAAAUAAGAUAUCAGACCUUCUUUUUGAAGCUUCUUUUGCUGUUUCUUCCAUUUUGAGGGUGGUUUCUCUAAUUAAGAGACAGUUGUGCUCACAGACCUGAUAUGUAUCUGUGUAUCAUUUUAUGAAAACCUGCAGGAAUGCCAGUUCAAGAUCAUCUUUGUAAAAUUACCUUCUGGCUAGCACAGAAACUGCACUGUCUGAAAUGAUCUGAUUUUGUCAAGGUUCUAUUGCUGAAAUUAUUUACAGUAAGAGAGCUGUACUGUAGUUAUGCUGUUCAUGUUCAGGUUACAUUAUUCACAGUUCUAGCAUCCUGCAUUUCUAAUAUACUACUAAACCUGGUGUGACACCACUGAAACCCUCCUGGGUGUUUUGGAGCUUGCCUCCCUAUGUGUUAUUGCCAGUAUAAUAAAGGGGAUAUUUUCUCAAGGCAUAAGAGGAAUUCGCACACGAUUCAUUGCCCACAUAUUAUGCAGUUGCAAAGACCAAACUUCCUUUCGAGCUGUGCUGAGAGCACACUGCAGUUACCCGCCUAGUUUACAGAAACCUGUAUGAACUUAGCUAAUUUGCUUCUUCAGAGUUGCACCUUUGGACCCAAAUCCUAUCGACAGCCGUAUGAACUGACUUAGAAACUCUACAUGUUCUCAGAUUCGCGAGAAUUUUGUCAAACCUGGAGUGAGUUUCUGGGUUUGUCAGUUGAGUGAAACCAAAGUGGCAGUAUGGGACUUCAUGACGAAUAAUUAGUGCAAGGUAAUGCCUGUUGUAGUGUACGACCAGAAGGUUAGCCCCACGUAUUUCCUCAUCCCCACAUACGCACACAGACAACUCCUUGUAAAAUGUAGUACAGCGGCAUAAGCCCUCCUUCAAGCUCACAGAGAACAGGCUGGACAAAAUAGCUUUUUAUCUAAGCUCUGUGGGCCACGUAUAUGAAAUAAAGUUGCCAAACACAAAUUAAUGUGUAAUUAUUUUUCUUGCCUGAAUCACUUUCUUUCAUGUGUCAUAACACGCAGGGUAAAUAGCACCACACCUUUUUACUUUAAUUGUGGUAAUCUGAUCUCUCAGCCACAAGAAAGCCUUCUCUAAUGCCUCCUUUAGAAUGGACUUUCAAGGCAAAGCAAGAGCAGUAACUGUAAUAAUCACCUCUUCUUUUCUUCUUCUGUCAAAAUGCAGGGGGGUUGUUAAACUAAUCAAGAACAAGGACCACACGGCAAAAAAUGAAUGCCCUAAAAGACAAACGGAGGUAAAUGCUUGACAGGUAAUUUAAGGUGAUGGUGGGAUUAUUUUCUUUCUUUUUUUCUGAUUUGCCCAGUGACUAAUUAUUUGCACAGUAAACAUAAGGCUGUCUGACUUUAUGGUAAUACCAUAAUGAGAAACACGUUAUAUCAUUUAUCUGCUGGAUUGCCUCAGUUUUGAGGAACAGAAUUUCACAGUGGCAGGUGUCAUCUCAGUUUGAUUAUCAAGCAUCUCCUAUGCUCAGAGGAUCAUUAAGACAAAUAAAAUCCCAUUAGUUAGGUUUGGUCUAUGUUUUGCAUUGCAUCCUUGGAAAAGAAAGGAGACAGGGAUUUACUUCAGAGCAGAAAGUUUCUUUUACUGAUUAGAAAGCAAUUCCUUUUCUCCUUAUUUUGUUAUCACUUUCAUUCCCUGACUAGCCGCAUUUUAGGAAUAAAAACCUACAUCCAAAACUGAUCUUCUGAGAAAAUUAAGUGGAGAACACAAAAAAGACUCACCCAUCCAGAUGCUUUUAUGCUUUAAUACCCACUGAGGUGAAAGAAAGUCUUCUCAGAGACCUUGGUGACUGCUGAGGUAGGUCCAAGCCUAAGACGCCUGUACAGGUCUUGGGGAAGGGUGGGCAACAACUACAGAAGUGCAGUCCUGACCCACCAGGAGAGGACCUGGGAAAGAAUUAAAACUUUCUCAAUGCUUCAAGGUGAAGGACCUUGCUGGCCUGUUAGCUCCACAAGAAUCACUGCCUUCCACUGUGGUAGAAAUCAGUAUGGAUAAAUGAUUUGAGACGGAGGGCAAUUGUCUACCAUUUGAAGCUAAGCAAAGUAGCCCAUGAUUCACCCCUGUGCUAGUGGGAAUAAGAAGAAACCUUACACCCUGACUGGGGCACCCACAAGGAUAACACUACGCUUCAGUCUGCUGGAAAAGCAUUUACAAUCAUCUGUUAGCACAGUGUCCAAUAACAUGGUUAUUUCUAGCACAACUUAAAGCUUUAAGUCACAUCAGUGUCCACCAUACUAAAUGCAAGAGAAGGUCCCUCUCAUAUGGAUGUUGCAUCAUGUGAAAUAUAGAGUGUCUCCCUAAGUAUCCAUGCUGUCCUAGGCACCAACCUUCCCACAUGACAGAAAUUCAAAGAGGUCAUGGCAGCUGCACAUUACAGACUCUCUUCCAUAUUUUGCCACUGUGAAGACACUGAGGUUUUUCUUUGCAGCUCACAGAGAUACAGCAAAAGCUUAGACCAUCCAUACAGCUUUGGGUCACCUGUACUCCUCAUAGCUCCUUGGUGGAGCUGUGCUGCCAAAGGUUCUUGUUGGCCUUCUCUUUAGGUAAGAGUCUAAUUACAUACUUGCAGCUUUUGCUAGGUUUGUUGCUAGCUAGUUACACUGAAAGCACUGCAAGUCACCACAUGUUAAUUUAAGCUAGUCGCUUGAUUUAUGUGUAACAUUACUUACUCCCAGAAUCCAAGAAACAGGUCAUUGUAGCUCAUUGUCCCUUUCAUACGUACCACUCUUGCGCAGCAGAAGGAAACAACCAGCAGUUACUUGUCAAAUGAUGGGGAAAGCACUGGGAAGCCAUGCCUUUUCACAACUCAGCCCACUUCAUCUAAAGCCACAUACACUGAUCUAUCCUACAGUAUACUUGGGGCUAACCUAUUUUGUUGGUUAAGUGUCAGUUUAUUUAUCUUUAUAUCAUUUCUGUAUUAACAACAUCACUGAAGUCACAAAGAUCUUAGAAAUACGUUAUCAAACUCUUUGAUGUCAGAUUUACCCAACUUAACAAGUGGCUUAACCAAACAUCCUCAUCACCCAAUGCCAAAACAUCCUCCUCACCCAGUCUAAACACAUUCUGCUCACACAAAUUAUAACAUGACAAGGCCUUAUUGCCUUAUUACCUCACUGACAAAAGCCUUAUCCUAUGUCAGAGGCACAGUAUUAGACAUACCAUCCUUCUUGUGUUUCUACUGAAGAUCCCUUUAAUAAAGAUUACACUUGUUCCUCUACAGCUCCCCAAAAGAUUGCAUGUAAUCAGUAAUACAUAUGUAAUCAGUAAUACAGUAAUACAGUAAUACACAGCAUUGUCUACAUUUUCUGUUCUCUAAUGACAGCCAAAAAGGAGAAAAGAGGAGAACAAAAGAAAAUAUUCUGUUGCUUAACAUAAAGAUCCUUACAUUUGCAGAGGACUUGCUUGGUGGUUUAAUCCUCCUCAGACUUCAUGCAUGGGAUGCAGGAUAGCCAUAUAGUUUGUACACUGAGGGCAUAAUCAUUUACACAAUGGCCAUAUACAACUGGUUGUUCCUAUCUACCUUCAAUUUUAUCUGCAGGUGUUGCAUGAGGUACUAUCUGAUAGAAUUAUAAAGGGUGAUAUUAGAUGACUACAGGUGGAGCUAAUGUAGCACCAAACCCUGUUGUGUUUGGUCUAGCUAAUACAGAGGUUCUCUCUUUUUUACGGGUGUACAAUCCACCCACAUAGCUGCACCCAAAAUGGGAUGUUUUAUUAUAAGUGUCUCUUUCAUCUAAAUUAAUCAAAGCCAUUAGUUUACAGGAAUCAGUAUCUGGAGAGAUGCCUCCACCCUUUAAGUGAGAGCAAGCUGUUGUAGAUUCACACAGGAUGGAAGCACCAUAUAAACAUUUGAGCAAAUAAAAAAGCUGUGAGGAAAACAAGAGGAGCUAUAAACUAUUACCACCCAAAGGGCAGGUGUAACUUUUGCAAGGAAGAUUUUUGCGGCUGCUUAUAUGCCCUGCUGUGUGUUGAGGAGUCGAGCUACUGAGCAGAAAGAUUUAACUCCUUGGAGGUGCAUCAUGCUACAGAACAUUUUCAGCAUUUUUCUAGCCUCCUUGCUGUGAUCAUCACAACCUGGGCAGGUGGGAGAGAGAGCUGAUCUCCUCAAUAGACAAAAUGUUCUGCUGCUUUCUAGUCUUCUAAGUUUAGAACCUUCAGAUCCUCCAGGAGUGACAUCAUAAAGGAUGACAAUAGUAUAAUAAGCAAAUGGAACAUCAAGGUAAUUCCAUUAUUGGACAAACAACUUUUCUGGCUAGAAGAGGAGGCCAAAACCAAGUAUAUUGUUUCAGAUCCAUCUCUAGCAAUAAUUGCAGCACCAAGGAUCAGAAGAACAGUCAGGAAAGUGAGAUAAGAAAGAAAAAAUUGUAUACAGUACCUACAUAUCAAAGAUGAAGAACUCCGUCUCCACAGAAAACAAAAGAAGGUUCUGUCGCAAGACAAAUUGAAUCAAAUUCUCCAGGAGUUUUUCAGUUCAAUUAAGCUGUGGGAUAGUCCAUAUCAUAGGUGCAAAUCUCUCUGUGCAUUAUAGGACCACAGACAGGGAUGUGGCAAAAGUUUUCCCCUAAAUCAAGUAAAUUCCCUGGUGUGGUUCAAUGGCCAGGUCCAGAAAUACCUGUGCUGGCACAAGUGAGGAAGGUGAUACCAACAGAAUGGGAAAGAGGAAAGGGACAGAAGAGAUAGGAUUAUAGCUGCUGAACUCCACAGUGCCAAACUGCAGCCCCAUGGCCCAAAUUCCAUUCUGCUCUAGGAUGGAGAAAUACCCACACUGACGUUCACCCACGGCCAGAAAUCUCCUAGGCUUUGUGUGGUUCAGGGUCUUCCUGAGGCUGUGCAAUCUUUUGUUCAUCUAUAAACAGGAUAGUUGUUCCCCACAAGGGCUUGGAAGCACUUCAAGAGAUCAAAUCAUCUGUCUCUCAAUCAACAGAAGGAUCAGCUAUCUGAAUGUCCGUGCAGCUAUUUCUAUCAGCCUCUAUACAGGAUUGCGUGUGAGUAGGGAUAGGGAUCUCCAAGGUCUGUGCUAUUCUACAAAGGUACCAAGUAGACACAAGCUGCUCAGACCUGGGAGUGUUCAUUACAUUUGUUGGUAAUUUUGUGACUUAGAUUGUGCCUUUUCCAGAAUAAGACUCUGAUUGCUCAUGAAAUGUUUGGAUGUUUGUUGCAAUGGUGACAUAGUUUUUCCUUGUCUCCAUGUCAGUGGGGUCCAUUUCCUAAUUCUCCUGGGUCAAAUUAAAUUCCUGCUAUGUCCAUCCAAAUCAAACUGUAAGUGCAAGGCAAGCAACUAUUGUGUAGGCUCCAAGCCAUCUCUGGUCCUUUGUCAAGGAACAGCUCCCUGGUGUCUUUUUUUACCUGAAGAAACUAAAAGUACAUGGUGCCCUUUUAAUCUGGAAACAAAAGAGAACAAAGGCAAACAAAUAGAGGCCAAAUUAUCUAGCCUUGAGAUCUGAGUUUUCUCCAUAUUGAACUUCUGGUACUUACUUAAUGAGCCCAUGUUGUUGCUCACUAGUGAGUAAGAACAAAGAAGAGUGACUCAUGCUACCUUGUUAUUGUUACAUAAUCUAUACAAGUAAUUUAUUUUUAUGGUUAAUUAUUGGAUUAGUUAAGUAUAUUGGAAAUAUAAAGAGAUGUGGCAGAAGGAGUUACGAGAGAUUCAAACCGGGUCUGUAAAACUGCAAGACAUCUUCAUAUAUAAUCUGGAGGGAAAUCUGCAUAAAGCAAAACUCCUUUCAGAGCUGAUCACUUGUGUUAGCACUUCUGAGUUCAGAUGGAUUCCCUUCAGCCUCUAUAGAUUCUCGUCUUUAGAUUAGUCAGAGGCUUUUUUAUAGCGACAAACCCCUGUUUCUUUUCCUUUUGUGAGUAUUUCCUGCUUUUACCUGCUGGGGGAACCUAGAGUCAGUAAUGUGGCUCCUUCUCACCUGAGUACACAGGGUUACUUUUAUUCCCCCAAAAUCACUGUCUGCAUUAAUCACCAUAGAGCUGUGAGAAUAUGAGCUAUAAAUCUUUCCAACCACACUCAACUGCGAGGGAUUGGUUUGUGUUAUUUAUUAAAAGGUAGCGACAAUAAUUACUCUGAAGUGGCUGGAUGCAUAUAACUAUGUAGUAGACAUGCAAGUAUGAAGUUGAAGCUGCAAAAAUCCAUUGGUCAUGAAGUGACCUAAAUUGGGAUUACAUGCUGAGGCAUCAGUCUAAUAUGAAAUUACUCCUAUGUUUUUAUUGUAAUGACCAAUUAAGGAUCAGCACCUCAGAAACCUCAGGUGGCUGGUUUACAUGAAAUAAACAUCGACCUUGAAAAUAUGCCCUUUUUGAAAUCCUAAUGCUGAUGUGUUCUGAAAGGGUCAGCCCGUCACCAUGGUGUUGGCAAGGGGUUGUGUUUGGCUGCCGAGUGCCGAUACAUCCUCAGUGCCAAAUACUACUUGUGAGCAGGGAAGUUGCUAGGAGCCUGGGGUAAACACGAAUGCUCCCUGCUUUCCAUACAGCUCCACUUCAAAGUCACACAGCGUAUUCAUGAAAGUAGCCAAUACUCCUCUUCACUCCUUUAGCAACAUGUGGUGCAUGGGGUACAGAGUCAUAUGGUGUUCUUUGGGGUCUUUUUAAAACAAAUUUUUAUUUAACCUCUGCUUUGACCCAACACAUAAGUGUGUUGCCCAGAUAUGCUCCAUUUCAGUUUAUUUAACCAGAAUGUUUGCUUACUCAGUGACCACUGGAGGGGAACUACUGUUCUUAUUAAUUCCACAAUGGGUAUUUGUUGCUUCUUGUUUUCUGACAUUUUCUUUAUGACCAUAAUUGCAGAGUUCUUGUUUUCAGAUAAUAAAUGCACGUGUCUAUUUGCUCAGGUAUUAUGUAAUUGA